rnacentral:lncRNA from 1 species
CCAAACCUCUUUCUUCUUCAGCCAACAACCACACAGGGUGGCGCCUCUUCUUCAAUUCGAAUCUCCAGUGGUUCAGCGGCGACAAGCUGCCACCACCACCUCCCUCUUCCUCACUAAAUCGCGCCGCUGCGAUUCCUCUCCGGUGAAGAACCGCUGACUACACUCUAUCUCCUUUAUCUCUAUCGUCCUCGCCUAACCCUCAUCCUAUGGGUUCCCUCCGUCUCCGAGCAACAACGGUGAGACCGCCACCGUCUAGAGCCCAGGCCGCAAAUCUCUCUUCUUCCCUUUGUUCGGUCGGACUCUCCUCGUCUCCGACCUCUCUUGCUCAGUUGCUCCAACUCUAAACGGCAAAAGAGUCG